CCCGCCUAAAAUAUAAUUUUCGCUCUUGUUUUGGUAAAGCAAUUCACUGGAAAUUAAUGGAAAUUGAAGGAAACUGAAGGAUGUAAAUGACGUAACUAGCGGCAUAUCAUCAGUAGUGAAGAUUGCAGGUCAUUAGUGUCGCAUAUACAGAGCUGAAGGAAAUAUGAAUAUCUAAAAAUGCGCCGCAGCCUAGCUCCAAGCCAGCUGCUGAAGCGCAGUUUGGAGAUCAAUCGG